rnacentral:rRNA from 1 species
CAACGACUCUCGACAACGGAUAUCUCGGCUCUCGCAUCGAUGAAGAACGUAGCGAAAUGCGAUACUUGGUGUGAAUUGCAGAAUCCCGUGAACCAUCGAGUCUUUGAACGCAAGUUGCGCCCGAAGCCAUUAGGCUAAGGGCACGUCUGCCUGGGUGUCACGC